CACUGGUACAACUGUCUAAUUGAGCAUCCCUGUUCCUUCCAGUGUUGGACCCUCUGUAAGAUGUAUCUUGAUUGGAUGAUCUUUCUAACCAUCCAACUUACUUGAGCAGGAAUUGGAGUGGAUUCAAUAAGUCUGUCUUUGAUGUAGUACACAGUAAUCCACCUAAUCCACAGCUUGUCCUUUCUAUGAGCUAGAUCCCAGCAUGUCUUUGCUAUGGCAGCUUUGUUCCAGAGCUUGAGAUUAGUGAGAUUCAUCCCUCCUACUGAUUUUGGGGUACGCAUUUUGUCCCAGGAGAUAUAUGCUUUACUAAUGAUAGUGUUCAUCCCUGACCAAAUGAAGCUCCUACAAAUGCCUUCUAUCAUCUUCAGGACUUUAACAGGAAAUAUGAACAGUUGUGCACAGUAAGCUUGGACACCAAAAAUGACAGCUUGGACCAGUUGGAUUCUCCCAGAGUAAGACAGUGUUUUGGCAGUCCUAGAGGUGACCUUGGCAGUGAUCCUAUCCACUAGAGUUCUCCCAGAGUAAGACAGUGUUUUGGCAGUCCAAGAGGUGAUCUUGGCAGUGAUCCUAUCCACUAGAGGUUGCCAUUGGAGCAAUGUGAUUUUCUUGGUGGACAAGGGGACUCCUAGGUAGUUGAAUGGCAAUUGACCUUGCUCAUAGCCAAGGUGGUCGAGGAUCUGUUUCUGGAUAUCCUGUGAAACCCCCCCAAAGUAAGCAGAGCUCUUGUUCAGAUUAGCCUGUAAUCCAGAAGCUUCAGAGAAUUGAGAGAAACAUCUGGAUAAGGCCAUGACAGAAGUAAUGUCACCUUUGGCAAACAGUAGCAAAUCAUCAGCAAAGCACAUGUGAGUAAUGCCCAGUUUAUUACAUCUGAGGUGGAACUGGUAUGCUGGAUUUCCUUCUAGUGAGUUGUGAUCUGCUUAAGUACUCCAUGACCAGAGCAAAUAGGAAGGGGGAGAUGGGGUCCCCUUGCCUAAGCCCCCUAGCAGCAGCAAAGGGUUCAGUUGCCUCUCCAUUGACUAGCACAGAGAAACUCACUGUUGAGAUACAUUCCAUUAUCCAUUUGGUGAAAGUGCCGGGGAAGCCAAUUUGUUCCAUAACCUGCUGUAGGAAUACCCAUUCAACCGAGUCAUAAGCUUUUUGGAGAUCGAUUUUAAUCAUGCAUCUGGGGGACACAUGUUGUCUAGUGUAGCUUUUGACUAGUUCAUGUGCCAGAAUGAUGUUGUCUUGGAUCUUCCUGCCUGGGAUGAAGCCUUCCUAGGCUUCAC
rnacentral:lncRNA from 1 species